UUUCCGUAGGUGAACCUGCGGAAGGAUCAUUACCGAAUUGUCAACAAGAGUUGUUGCUGGUCCCUGUAUGGGGGCAAGUGCACGCUCUGUUCACACAUCCACUCACACCUGUGCACCCUCUGUAGUUCUAUGGCCUGGGUGGGCUCUGUCCCCCUGCUGUGGUUCUGCGUCUUUACACACACACUACAACAAAGUCUCAUGGAAUGUAUGUCGCGUUUAACGCAAUGAAAUACAACUUUCAGCAACGGAUCUCUUGGCUCUC
rnacentral:misc_RNA from 1 species